UAUUUUCUAGUUUAGUGGUGAUGACCGAAUAAUAGAAUGACAAUGUACGUCUCAAAAUCAAAACUCGCAAAAACUAAAUUCGCAACGAUUUGUUAUCCGUCCUAAAAAUAAUAUGGACUGCACCGCUGACGGAUUAAUCCGCACUAACCACAACAUCCAUUCAAAGCAUAAAAAUGUUUGAUUCUUGUUCAGAAUUUGAAGCAUUUGUUUAUGUAUUAAUAAGAUUCUGCUUACAUAUAUCUUUUGAUUGGAUGAUGUCUAUUGGAUAUGCAUAUAACU
rnacentral:sRNA from 1 species